rnacentral:rRNA from 1 species
ACAUACCCUUUGCAUAAUGGUGAUAUUAUAAGCUAACCUCAAUUGGUUUUCCCGAAAAUAAAAGAUCUACCUAAAUGUCUUUUAUUAGAAAUUAAAUUAUUGUAGCAUAAAUAAGUCAAAACAGAUAGGUAGAAUGUGAAAUGCUUACAUUUUUAUAGAUAACUGGAUUAAAAGAAAAUAUAUUAAGUAUACUAGACAAUUUUAAAUCGAUAAGGAUUUAAAAUUCGUGGAAAUAAUAAAUACACUAAUUUAUUAUUUAGUAAUACUAUUUAAUAAUUACUUAUAGAAACAUUAAUUUAUAAGCAACUCACUUAGAACCCUUUUACUUGUUCAACAAUAUUAUUCAAACUACGAUAAUGUAUCAAUAAGUAUUUAAAUUAAUAAAUGUUAUUAAGGAACUCGACAAGUUUUUUGUACGGCUGUUUAUCAAAAACAUAACCUUAAGUACAACUUUUAAGGUGAAGUCCGCCCGGUGAAUAGUUAAACGGCCGCAGUACCUUGACUGUGCAAAGGUAGCAUAAUAACUUGGCUUUUAAUUGGAGCCUGGUAUGAGCGAAAAUACGUAUAAACAUUGUCUCACUUUACAUUAAGUAAAAAUUAAUAUAGGAAGUGAAAAUACUUCCAGUUGUUCAUAAAAGACGAGAAGACCCUUAGAAUUUUUACUAGGAAUAAAUAAAUAAUUUUAGCAGUUUUAGUUGGGGCAACUCUAUUUCAUGUUAAAUAAAUAGUUUAAUUAAUAUUUAUACCGAUUAAAUAUCUUAAAAUAAAUUACCUAAGGGAUAACAGCAUAAUUUAAUUAUAAGAUUGUGACCUCGAUGUUGGAUUAGGUGUUGAUAAAGCUAAACGUUUUACCAUAUAUUGUUCUGUUCGAACUUAAUUACCUACAUGAUCUGAGUUCAGACCGGCGCAAGCCAGGUCAGUUUCUAUCUUUUAUAUAGUGUAAUUUAGUACGAAGGGA